rnacentral:rRNA from 1 species
CAGUCGCCGCGGUAAUACGGAGGGUGCGAGCGUUAAUCGGAAUUACUGGGCGUAAAGCGUACGCAGGCGGUUUGUUAAGUCAGAUGUGAAAUCCCCGGGCUUAACCCGGGAACUGCAUUUGAAACUGGCAGGCUAGAGUCUCGUAGAGGGGGGUAGAAUUCCAGGUGUAGCGGUGAAAUGCGUAGAGAUCUGGAGGAAUACCGGUGGCGAAGGCGGCCCCCUGGACGAAGACUGACGCUCAGGUACGAAAGCGUGGGGAGCAAACAGGAUUAGAUACCCCAGUAGUCCCUGUCUCUUAUAC